rnacentral:tRNA from 1 species
UUGGUUUGGUAGAAAAUGGUAGCCUCGACGAGGGUCAUAUUAGGACGCGGCCCUCUCAAGGCUGAAACAGGGGUUCAAUUCCCCUAGGGAGCGCCA